UCAUUCUAUACACAUAAGUUCAUUUGCGAGUAAGUGGGAACCAAUUUAGAAGGUCAAGUAUAUUUACUGUCAACAAGAAUGUUGCCCUCCAAUUUAAGAUCUCCACUAAGGAGGAACCCUGUUUGAUCCAGAUUCCAGGAUCAUGCAACAGAGUCUAAAUCAAAUCAAGAGCAACGUUCCAAUUUGUGAAUACCAAGAAUAGCUGUAUCUUCUUUUUACAGGAUCCAGAUUCUGUGUAAGCAGUGAAAUUAUUUGCAAUCAGACAAUCAUCAUCUUCUUCAAGAAAUGCUGCUAUGAAAUUAUUUCUAGCUGUGUCUGACUCUUCACAACAUGAAGUUAGCAACCAGAUUGCUCAAUCACCAAGCCACAAAGAUGAUACAACCGAACAGUUGCAGUAGGAAAACUUCUUUGUUUAUUCAGAAUCAAGAAAAUCUUUAGGUCCCUCAUACCACGACCGCUCCCAAUCUUUAGGUCUUGGGGGAAGACAAUUCCUUCAUUCUCUACGUGGACAGAAGUAGUGCUUGCUUUUCUGGCUUUUGUCUCUCCACAGUCUGUAAAAAAAAUGUCCCAAAAAACAACUAAUGAUCAGAAAAAGUGUAAAAGGGAAGAGAGAAAACUGCUGAUAGAUUGGAUCAGUCUUCUUCUUCAUUAGAUCAUUACAAACAUCUGGCUUUGAAAAAUUUGAAGUUAAUUAACUACCAUCAUUAUAAAUAUUUAUUUUUCCUGAAAGAAUGAAAAUGUAUGGUUGCUCUAUGAGUACAGCCCUCUACAGCACAAAAAUAAACAAAUACUGUGGUCAAAGCUGUCAAUCAAAAUCCCCCUAUCCAGAAUGCAUGUCAAUGGCUGAUCCAUAUUCCCACACUAGUAUCCCAUAUCAAAAACCACAUACAUACAGAGAAUAAACUCGAUAAGAUUUCCUCCAAGAAUCAUGGCAUCAAUGAUGAAGAAUGGCUUUUAUCCAAGUUUGAGGCAGUUUGCCAUAUUCAUCUGCUUCCCCAUGAGUCUCAUGUAGUUAAUGGAAGGAUUCAAUAAACAAUCUCGAAACGCAUGAGUGUUUUUGGCCUAAUAAAAUUCAGCAUAUGGCAUGAUUUUGUAUGUGUAAAUAGGGACUACUGCUAGCUUGUUUGUAUGAAAUAACCAUGAUUACUAGACAGUCACAUCAAAUUAAGCAGAAUCUACAAAAUACUGAUCUCCAUUUCGUACCAUGUCUGAGAAAUUUUGUGAAAUGAUCAUAAACUGAACAUGAAUUAUAUGUAAUCUACUUCAUUUACCAAAGGUAAUGAAAUCUAUUCUAUUUUUAUAAUCAACUUAAUUAGGAAACUCAGAUACUAAUCACUACCAUACGUACAGAAAUCAUAUUACUUUUCUUUAAUACCUCCCUUGAUCAACUUACAUGCUAAGAAUGAAAAAAUCAUAAGGCAAUCAGAUGAAACAAACCAAGAAAACAAAAAUAUUGAAUGCAGAGUUAUGAAAUAUCACCAGAUGAGAUCCAACAGUACAUUAAAAAAAAUUGUAAACUUGCUUACCUUGGCGCCAUGUCUGGAGGAAUCCCAAUUGUUAAGCAUAGGGCCCAUGUUGACAAGCACAUGCCCAGAUCUUAGACACCCUCAAGAUGAACAAUGGCAGCUACUCUAGGCACUCCUACU
rnacentral:lncRNA from 1 species